rnacentral:rRNA from 1 species
GCCAGACUCCUACGGGAGGCAGCAGUGGGGGAUAUUGCACAAUGGGGGGAACCCUGAUGCAGCGACGCCGCGUGGGUGAAGGAGCGUUUCGGCGCGUAAAGCCCUAUCGGCAGGGAAGAAGGAGGACGGUACCUGACUAAGAAGGCCCGGCUAACUACGUGCCAGCAGCCGCGGCAAUACGUAGGGGGCAAGCGUUAUCCGGAUUCACUGGGGGUAAAGGGAGCGUAGACGGCCAUGCAAGCCUGGAGUGAAAGCCCGGGGCCCAACCCCGGGACUGCUCUGGGAACUGUGCGGCUGGAGUGCGGGAGGGGCAGGCGGAAUUCCUGGUGUAGCGGUGAAAUGCGUAGAUAUCAGGAGGAACACCGGCGGCGAAGGCGGCCUGCUGGACCGCGACUGACGUUGAGGCUCGAAAGCGUGGGGAGCAAACAGGAUUAGAUACCCGGGUAUA